CUUUAAGUUCGAAAAAUCCAUUUGCUCAUCCGGUAUUCACUUCCAAUGAAAGUCAUUUGGUUUCCCAUUAAAUUAUUAUUUAAAGUUAAUAUUUCUUGGAAACAAUAGGUAGUAAACGAUACUUUACACAUACCAUACUCCUAUAUAGAUAACUGUUCUUCGUUCAUUUUUGGAAAAAACAAGAAACAAAACUGCAUUAGGAUUAACCAAGAGAGAAAAAAAAAAAAAACAGAACAAGGAGAAGAGAGAGAGUUGACUCAUUGAGUUACUUCUAAUUUCUGUGGACGAUCAAGGACUAACAUACUGGUGGUAGUGACAAAGUCGAGUGAGAAAGGGUAUCCUAACCCCUCAAAAUGCAGCGAGGCAGCCUUUGAAUGGAUUCUUAAGAAGAUAGUUUAACCUAACCAUGGUCGUUUCCGUCUUUUAUUCCUCCAUGUGCAACGCCCAAACACUCUUUCUGUCCAAGCCAAGUAAUGACAAGAUUCCACUUACCGUGCACAUGGCAGACAGAAGAAACGAAA